rnacentral:misc_RNA from 1 species
AAGUCGUAACAAGGUUUCCGUAGGUGAACCUGCGGAAGGAUCAUUCAUAAUAAGUGUUUUAUGGCACUUUGUGUCGAACACCGAUCGAGCGAGCGCGGCGUGGUUCACGUCGUGCGAGGGAGCGCCCUUCCAGGCGCACCAGCGCCGUUCCCCGCUUCGGCUGGAGCUCGUCCACUUGUGGAGAAAGAACGGACCCAGUGCUUGCACCAACAACCUGUGCUUGAAAAGGAACCCAAAUGCAGUACAACUGCAAACGGUGGAUCACUCGGCUC